rnacentral:rRNA from 1 species
GAUGAACGUUGGCGGUGUGCCUAAUACAUGCAAGUCGAACGGAGCUAAUAGCAAUAUUGGCUUAGUGGCGAACGGGUGAGUAACGCGUUGGUGAUCUGCCUUGAAGUGUGGAAUAACGUUUCGAAAGGAACGCUAAUACCGCAUGUGCUCUCGAUUUUCAGAAAGUUGAGAGUAAAGGAUUUAUUCGCUUCAAGAGGAGCCUGCGUCCCAUCAGCUGGUUGGUAGGGUAACGGCCUACCAAGGCUAUGACGGGUAGGGGACCUGAGAGGGUGGCCCCCCACAAUGGAACUGAAACACGGUCCAUACACCUACGGGUGACAGCAGUAGGGAAUAUUAGAAAUGGACGAAAGUCUGAUCUAGCAACACCGCGUGUGCGAAGAAGGCCUUCGGGUCGUAAAGCACUUUUUGGAAGGAAUAGGAAGGAAUGUACUUCCAGAAUAAGUCUCGGCUAACUACGUG